AUUGAACGCUAGCGGGAUGCUUUACACAUGCAAGUCGAACGGCAGCGCGGACUUCGGUCUGGCGGCGAGUGGCGAACGGGUGAGUAAUGUAUCGGAACGUGCCCGGUAGCGGGGGAUAACUACGCGAAAGCGUAGCUAAUACCGCAUACGCCCUACGGGGGAAAGCAGGGGAUCGUAAGACCUUGCACUAUUGGAGCGGCCGAUAUCGGAUUAGCUAGUUGGUGAGGUAACGGCUCACCAAGGCGACGAUCCGUAGCUGGUUUGAGAGGACGACCAGCCACACUGGGACUGAGACACGGCCCAGACUCCUACGGGAGGCAGCAGUGGGGAAUUUUGGACAAUGGGGGCAACCCUGAUCCAGCCAUCCCGCGUGUGCGAUGAAGGCCUUCGGGUUGUAAAGCACUUUUGGCAGGAAAGAAACGUCGCGGGCUAAUACCCCGUGGAACUGACGGUACCUGCAGAAUAAGCACCGGCUAACUACGUG
rnacentral:rRNA from 1 species